CAACAACAACAACAAAUAUGGCGGAAUCUCUAUUGUCAAACACGGAAGAAGAAGGAUACAACCAUAAUUAAACCAAGAAGUUUAUGAAGAAGGGAUCACUGGAUUUUGUCACUUUGGUACAAGAAACAGAAAAGAAGCUGUUGAAUGAAAUUGCUGCCAGACAGUCAGCAGUUAUCACUGACAGCCUGUCCUGGCCCAGCUUGGACCAUCCUCAAGCUAACCAUGAUGGUGUGUUUGCAAGAAUUGUCCAUUUGGUAGACCAUGAUGAAGACCAGCUUUGUUGUGGCAUGUCCUGACAAUACUGUACAAGCCAGAGACCAAAAAACGGUUAAGUGGUGACUGAUCCUCUCACUCUCCUUAUCCAGGAAACGUUUUGGAACAACGUGUUGACACUGAAGAUGUGGAGGACACAGAUUGAUCACAGUACAUCCUUUGAAUACAUGGACACCUUCAACGGGACGACAACAAAACUGUACCUGCCUUUUUUUUUAAAGGAAGUAGUUAAUAAAAUUAUUGUUAACAGCUUUUUUAGUCUUGUUGUUUAAAAA